GGGUCCUGACACUCCCCCUCCCCUGUCUCUCCUCCUCUCUCCUCGUCACCAUCAUCGGGAUGCAACAGCGCAUCUGGCCGAAGGAGAGUGUGGCGGCUGUGUCUCCUAGCAAUGGCAGUGGGGACGGGUUGAUGAGGAGGCGACAACUCGAGAGGUAGGCAAGAGGAACACAACCCCCAGUUGAGGAGGAGCCGCUCGGCACAGAUGUAGCUAGGGUUUGGGUGGGGGUUGGUUCCUACACCGAUGACGGCAUUUGCCAGCAGCAGCACAUCCCUCGACUUCCGUAACCUCAGUUGCAGCUUGUCCCUGCACCCUUCUCUGGUCCUAGAUAAAACUGUCAUCUUGCUUCAGAUUCAAGUGGUUCUUCCAAGUUGAAUAAUGAGUGGCCUCUGCUUUUUUCGUCGUCGUCCAUCGGUCCAACCUGUUGUUGUUCGCUCCGUCGGCUUGUAGUUGCUUAUGGAGCGUGCUGCGGAUUCGUUGUGCCUCCUUCAAAUAUAAGUUCUCUUUGCUUCCACUGCCUUUGCAUAUGCAUUUCUGAUAUUUUAAUUUAUAGAGUCCAGAGGAGAAGUGUGAAAUAGAUAAGAGUUUGUGCUAAGAAGUUCCUGACUAAUUCAUGCUGUAUUGGCCAUGGCUACAUGUUUGUUAGUCAUUUGGCUGGGUCAAGCUUAUGUAGCGAAUAUUUCCUUAAUGAAUGAUAUGGUGAUAGGAAAUAGUAAGUGU